CCUACGGGUGGCAGCAGUGAGGAAUAUUGGUCAAUGGGCGGAAGCCUGAACCAGCCAAGUAGCGUGCAGGAUGACGGCCCUACGGGUUGUAAACUGCUUUUAUACGGGAAUAACGCGCCUUACGUGUAGGGCUUUGCAUGUACCGUAUGAAUAAGGACCGGCUAAUUCCGUGCCAGCAGCCGCGGUAAUACGGAAGGUCCGGGCGUUAUCCGGAUGUAGUGGGUUUAAAGGGAGCGUAGGCCGCGUGGCAAGCUUGGUGUGAAAUGUCCGGGCUCAACCCGGGCCUUGAAGCGCGAACUGGCUUGCUUGAGUCCGCGGAAAGCAGGCGGAAUUCGUCGUGUAGCGGUGAAAUGCUUAGAUAUGACGAAGAACCCCGAUUGCGAAGGCAGCUUGCUGCAGCGGAACUGACGCUGAUGCUCGAAAGCGCGGGUAUCGAACAGGAUUAGAUACCCGUGUAGUC
rnacentral:rRNA from 1 species